rnacentral:lncRNA from 1 species
UCAUCUCCCACAACUUUUUUUCACUUUCAACAAUGGUGUCACCCAUAUAUCUCGAUCUAAAGCCCUUAUCGGAGCCACCAACAACUCGACCUUCUCCCCCUUUUUAGGCAUUUUUCCACAAUCAAUUUUGAAGUCGAAGAUGCAUCCUUCCUUGACCAAUUGGAUAAUCAAUAUUAGGUGAGGUUAACUGGGUAAUCCCAAUACUCAAAGAAGGAGCAUCAUCC